rnacentral:rRNA from 1 species
CGUACCUCCUGCGGGAGGCAGCAGUGGGGAAUUUUGGACAAUGGGCGAAAGCCUGAUCCAGCCAUGCCGCGUGCAGGAUGAAGGCCUUCGGGUUGUAAACUGCUUUUGUACGGAACGAAACGGCCUUUUCUAAUAAAGAGGGCUAAUGACGGUACCGUAAGAAUAAGCACCGGCUAACUACGUGCCAGCAGCCGCGGUAAUACGUAGGGUGCAAGCGUUAAUCGGAAUUACUGGGCGUAAAGCGUGCGCAGGCGGUUAUGUAAGACAGUUGUGAAAUCCCCGGGCUCAACCUGGGAACUGCAUCUGUGACUGCAUAGCUAGAGUACGGUAGAGGGGGAUGGAAUUCCGCGUGUAGCAGUGAAAUGCGUAGAUAUGCGGAGGAACACCGAUGGCGAAGGCAAUCCCCUGGACCUGUACUGACGCUCAUGCACGAAAGCGUGGGGAGCAAACAGGAUUAGAAACCCCGGUAGUCCCAUGA